AAGAAGAAGGAGUUGAGACAGCAGAAGAAAAGAGAGGAACAACUCAAGGCUGCAGGGUAUAAGCUUGCUCUUGAGAAGGCUGCUGAGUUUGCUGCGUUGGCUGCUGAGGUUGAAAAGGAAACUGUACAGGAAGGAGUGAAACUACUAUCUCAAGCUUUGAAAGACAAGCAGGCUUCAGAAGCUACUUCAUCAGAACCAGCAUCUAAAGCUUCAGAAGCAGCUCAUCCAGAAG
rnacentral:lncRNA from 1 species